rnacentral:rRNA from 1 species
GACGAACGCUGGCGGCGUGCCUAAUACAUGCAAGUCGAGCGGACCGGAUUGGGGCUUGCCUUGAUUCGGUCAGCGGCGGACGGGUGAGUAACACGUGGGCAACCUGCCCGCAAGACCGGGAUAACUCCGGGAAACCGGAGCUAAUACCGGAUAACACCGAAGACCGCAUGGUCUUCGGUUGAAAGGCGGCCUUUGGGCUGUCACUUGCGGAUGGGCCCGCGGCGCAUUAGCUAGUUGGUGAGGUAACGGCUCACCAAGGCGACGAUGCGUAGCCGGCCUGAGAGGGUGACCGGCCACACUGGGACUGAGACACGGCCCAGACUCCUACGGGAGGCAGCAGUAGGGAAUCUUCCGCAAUAGGCGAAAGCCUGACGGAGCGACGCCGCGUGAGCGAAGAAGGCCUUCGGGUCGUAAAGCUCUGUUGUGAGGGACGAAGGAGCGCCGUUCGAAGAGGGCGGCGCGGUGACGGUACCUCACGAGAAAGCCCCGGCUAACUACGUGCCAGCCGCCGCAGUAA